rnacentral:misc_RNA from 1 species
UUGGAUGUUUGAUUUGGAUGUAGUGUGAACGGGAUUGUGUUUGGGGUGGAUCGAUCAUUUCAGGUGAUGGAUUGCCCCACUUGUUAACCACCUUACCAUUUCUUGAUUACCUGGGAUCACUCCCAUGGGAUAAAA